rnacentral:rRNA from 1 species
CCUACGGGAGGCAGCAGUGGGGAAUUUUGGACAAUGGGCGAAAGCCUGAUCCAGCAAUGCCGCGUGAGUGAAGAAGGCCUUCGGGUUGUAAAGCUCUUUUGUCAGGGAAGAAACGGUGAGAGCUAAUAUCUCUUGCUAAUGGCGGUACCUGAAGAAUAAGCACCGGCUAACUACGUGCCAGCAGCCGCGGUAAUACGUAGGGUGCAAGCGUUAAUCGGAAUUACUGGGCGUAAAGCGUGCGCAGGCGGUUUUGUAAGUCUGAUGUGAAAUCCCCGGGCUCAACCUGGGAAUUGCAUUGGAGACUGCAAGGCUAGAAUCUGGCAGAGGGGGGUAGAAUUCCACGUGUAGCAGUGAAAUGCGUAGAUAUGUGGAGGAACACCGAUGGCGAAGGCAGCCCCCUGGGUCAAGAUUGACGCUCAUGCACGAAGACGUGGGGAGGACGAAACAGGAGUAGUAUACCUACGGUAGUACCACGACCCUAACCGACUAGUCUACUAGUUGUUCGGUUCGUUAUUAGUACUUGGUUAACGACAGCUAACGCGUGAAGUAGACCGCCGUCGGGGAGGUACGGUCGCGAAGAAGUUAAAACGUUAACGAAAGAAAGUUAGUACGGACGUGAGACGUUACGCCGACGGACGACGACGAGGGAGGAGGG